GUGGGGAAUAUUGGACAAUGGGCGAAAGCCUGAUCCAGCCAUGCCGCGUGUGUGAAGAAGGUCUUCGGAUUGUAAAGCACUUUAAGUUGGGAGGAAGGGCAGUAAGUUAAUACCUUGCUGUUUUGACGUUACCAACAGAAUAAGCACCGGCUAACUUCGUGCCAGCAGCCGCGGUAAUACGAAGGGUGCAAGCGUUAAUCGGAAUUACUGGGCGUAAAGCGCGCGUAGGUGGUUCAGCAAGUUGAAGGUGAAAUCCCCGGGCUCAACCUGGGAACUGCCUCCGAAACUACUGAGCUAGAGUACGGUAGAGGGUAGUGGAAUUUCCUGUGUAGCGGUGAAAUGCGUAGAUAUAGGAAGGAACACCAGUGGCGAAGGCGACUACCUGGACUGAUACUGACACUGAGGUGCGAAAGCGUGGGGAGCAAACAGGAUUAGAUACCCCGGUAGUCC
rnacentral:rRNA from 1 species